GCAUGCUGCAAGUUAAAAAAAGCAAAAAAGUGGGCCUCUCAUAGUGUCCCAUGCCAGAGCAAACGCGACCCCGAACCAUUGCCUGGCCUCUGCCAGUAGGCUGCAGGCACUGAAGCGGGUUGCACAGUG
ensembl:snoRNA